CUCAUCUUCCACACCACCAGUUGAAACCCCAAAACCUAGAUUCCGGCGCUAGAAAAUGCUAGCAAGAAAAACUGUAGUUACUGGUUCUCUAAGGAAAGCUUUGAAUGAAAAACUUUAGUCCAGCCAAAAGAAUCCAGUUCCAGCAGCCGAGAGAACUCUAGCUCUGAAUAUGAUGUUACAUCUCUGCCAGUGAAGGAGAUGAACCUCGGUCUUCUGAAAAUGCCAGAACUCAAGAAACCCAAGGAGAGGUAAAAUCUUGCUUUGUUUUUUUCUGAUGUAGUUCAAAGUGAGGAAAAUCGAUUUGUUAUGAUAGAGGC
rnacentral:lncRNA from 1 species